UGGUGGAGUGAUUUGUCUGCUUAAUUGCGAUAACGAACGAGACCUUAACCUACUAAAUAGUGCUGCUAGCUUUUGCUGGUAUAGUCACUUCUUAGAGGGACUAUCGAUUUCAAGUCGAUGGAAGUUUGAGGCAAUAACA
rnacentral:rRNA from 1 species